UACGUAGGGGGCUAGCGUUGUCCGGAUUUAUUGGGCGUAAAGAGCGUGUAGGCGGCCAGGUAGGUCUGCUGUGAAAACUCGAGGCUCAACCUCGAGACGUCGGCGGAAACCAUCUGGCUAGAGUCCGGAAGAGGAGAGUGAAAUUCCUGGUGUAGCGGUGAAAUGCGCAGAUAUCAGGAAGAACACCCGUGGCGAAGGCGGCUCUCUGGGACGGUACUGACGCUGAGAAGCGAAAGCAUGGGGAGCGAACAGG
rnacentral:rRNA from 1 species